AAGAAAUAUAUAAUAAUAAGAAAUAUAUCUAAUUUGUACAAGGUAAAUGGAGAAUACAUCACCGCAUGCGAUCAUGACGAUACAGUCAAUAUUUUACGAAAUGCAGGAGAUAUUGUUGUACUUACAGUGAAACAUUAUAAAGCUGCUACACCCUUCCUACAAAAACAAUUAUGUCGGGAUACUCCUGAUUCUGACAAUGAUGCCAUGUGUGCAGAGUUAAAAAAAGAUGAAGGCUGGAAAAAAUCUGUGAAUAAUAACAGGCCUGUUUCAAUUGUAUCAGAAACUGAACGAAAUGAUAAGAAGUGGAUUGAUAUUA